rnacentral:tRNA from 1 species
GGUCUGUAAGUGUUGUGGCGGCACACGUCUGUGGUAAGGACGGAGACCGGGUUCGAUUCCCGGACGGACCUC